AGGCAGCAGUGGGGAAUAUUGCACAAUGGGCGCAAGCCUGAUGCAGCCAUGCCGCGUGUGUGAAGAAGGCCUUCGGGUUGUAAAGCACUUUCAGCGGGGAGGAAGGCGUUAAGGUUAAUAACCUUGGCGAUUGACGUUACCCGCAGAAGAAGCACCGGCUAACUCCGUGCCAGCAGCCGCGGUAAUACGGAGGGUGCAAGCGUUAAUCGGAAUUACUGGGCGUAAAGCGCACGCAGGCGGUCUGUCAAGUC
rnacentral:rRNA from 1 species